rnacentral:pre_miRNA from 1 species
UGUAAGAGGAUGACAAAUAAGAUUUUUUCUCCUGAUUUUCAGCAAUUUCCUAUGAAAAAAAUUCAAAUUCAACUAAAAAUGCUAAAAAUCAAGAGGAAAAGUUUGAUUUGCCUUUCUCCUAUU